GAAAAAGCGUUGAGAAGGAGAAGUAGGAAGAGGACGCUUCAAAGAGAGAACCAUCGCCGGCUGAAAGUGGUUUAAGCCCCUCCUUUUCUGAAAUGCACCUUCGAGCCUGUAUCUGAACGCGUUUGCCAGUAGGAUGCAGCGGGGCCGCCCGUUAACAGGGAAAGUUGGGCAGCGGGCAAGGCCUGCCGCCAAACAGAGUGGAACCGCGCGAUCAAGAAGCGUCUCUGUC
rnacentral:ncRNA from 1 species